GACGAACGCUGGCGGCGUGCUUAAUACAUGCAAGUCAACUUGACUUUAGAUAGCAAUAUCGAAAAGUAGGGUGGCGCACGGGUGCGUAACGCGUAGGUAAUCUGCCCUGAGGUCUGACAUAACCCGUCGAAAGGCGGGCUAACAUCAGAUGAUAUAUGAUCACGACAUCGUGGAAAUAUCAAAUCUUCGGAGCCUUGGGAUGAGCCUGCGUCUGAUUAGGUAGUUGGCGGAGUAAUAGCCCACCAAGCCUACGAUCAGUAGCUGGUCUGAGAGGAUGAUCAGCCACACUGGAACUGAGACAUGGUCCAGACUCCUACGGGAGGCAGCAGUAAGGAAUAUUGCUCAAUGGGGGAAACCCUGAAGCAGCAACGCCGCGUGAAGGAUGAAAUACUUUUGUAUGUAAACUUCUGUAAGAUGGGAAAAAUAUUCCCCUCGGGAGAAUUGAUUGUACCAUCAGAGUAAGCCCCGGCUAACUACG
rnacentral:rRNA from 1 species